AAAUCUAUUUCCUCACAAGAACAUGGGGUGGUGCUCCUUUUUCAAUACAUAUCUCAUCUUCAGCCUGGACUAUAAGUCCCUAUGGCAUACUUUGAUCUGUGAACUGAAAUAUUCUCUUCGAGAGUCUGUUAACUCACUGUCCUUGCGGAUGCCAACACUAACACUGACUCAGAUGAAUGGGGGAGGGUGAUCCCGAUCCAGACAAUUGGCCUUCUUCUUCUAAGGGUGGUAAAGAGUUUUCUGAAGUAUCCAAGCAAGGUCAUGCCAUGGUUUUAACAACAACAAAAAAAAAAAGUUCAUGCCAUGGGUUUGAAGUUUGGGAUUCAUGUCAUGAGGGGAAUAAGUGCGCAGGCAGUCAAUGCAAACACACCAAUCUUGGACAUCACAAAGGUGUCAAAGAAGGGCCACAUAGACUAUCUAAUCUCAGUCCAGAUGAGCAAAGAACUCAGGUGACUUUAUGAUCUAUGGCCAAAUCGAUCACCUCUCAUGUUUGGGGGUGAUGCAAGGCAAAUUGAUAUGAGCGUAUACAAUCUCAUCACAAAUCCUGUAUUGCUGAAAAUAAAUUCUUUGAGCACAAACAACAUGGAGUUUCCUUACAUCUCUGGCACAAAUGUUUUAAGUGGCAAAAGGGUUCUCACCAAGCAAUCUAUAAGUUUGAAGUAUGAACCCAUAUUGGAAACAGGUGUUUCAGUUCCUACUAGCUGCAUGGAUCAAAAUUCUAAAGGUUAGGUUGUUGAAGCUCUUAGCUAACACCUUGAAUAGAUCUAUUGGAAGGAUUUCUUGGGAAAGAAGCAAAAAAAAGCCUGAUAUUUGCUUCUAUAAGAAGAAGGUUCUCUUGACAUCUUAUGGAAGGUUUCUACUUUAAUUCAUUUUUAUAUUUAAUUGGUAACAUCACUGUCAGUAUUGCUUCUUAUACUUGUUUGAAUGUUUUCUGUGUGAUGAUGAAGAGAUGAAGAGAAAAUCAACAAACAGAAAUAAGAAGGUCCAACUAUCAAAAACAAAUGCACCGGAUUUUUUCUUGGAUGCUUCUCUAAACCAGAUUACUCAUGAAGAGUCAAAGAACUUCUCAAUAUCCCCUUGCAGAUAGGGUGCUAACUAGGGGUGUAAGUUUAGCCCUGAUGAUCCAAACCCGCCCUGAGUCUGAACCUUGUCUAACCCAACUAUGAAAGCCAACCUGACCCAACCUUGUGUGGGGUUGGGCCGAGCCUAGGUUGAGGCAUAGAAAACCUAGCCUGACCUUAACCCGCCCUGAGUUUGACCUUAAUUAUUAUUGUGCUUUGUAGAAUGCAGGUGCCUCUUCUAACCAAGGGAGUUUCUUCUUGUUGUCAUUGAGUUUCUUGUAUAACAAGAAUAUGAUAGAGACCAGUAUAGCCAAAAGAGAAAUCACAAAGCCAAAG